CGCUACGGACUUAAAAUCCGUCGACUUUAGAAAUCGUGAGGGUUCAAGUCCCUCUAUCCCCA
rnacentral:tRNA from 2 species